rnacentral:rRNA from 1 species
UUCGCCCUUAGAGUUUGAUCCUUGAUCAGAACGAACGCUGGCGGCAGGCUUAACACAUGCAAGUCGAACGCCCCUUUCGGGGGGAGUGGCAGACGGGUGAGUAACACGUGGGAACGUACCUCUUUGUUCGGAAUAACUCAUGGAAACGUGAGCUAAUACCGGAUACGCCCUUUUGGGGAAAGAUUUAUCGCAGAGAGAUCGGCCCGCGUCCGAUUAGCUAGUUGGUGAGGUAAUGGCUCACCAAGGCGACGAUCAGUAGCUGGUCUGAGAGGAUGAUCAGCCACACUGGGACUGAGACACGGCCCAGACUCCUACGGGAGGCAGCAGUGGGGAAUAUUGGACAAUGGGGGCAACCCUGAUCCAGCCAUGCCGCGUGAGUGAUGAAGGCCUUAGGGUUGUAAAGCUCUUUUAUCCGGGAAGAUAAUGACUGUACCGGAAGAAUAAGCCCCGGCUAACUUCGUGCCAGCAGCCGCGGUAAUACGAAGGGGGCUAGCGUUGUUCGGAAUCACUGGGCGUAAAGGGCGCGUAGGCGGACGAUUAAGUCAGGGGUGAAAUCCCGGGGCUCAACCUCGGAAUUGCCCUUGAUACUGGUUGUCUUGAGAUUGGAAGAGGUAAGUGGAAUUGCGAGUGUAGAGGUGAAAUUCGUAGAUAUUCGCAAGAACACCGGUGGCGAAGGCGACUUACUGGUCCAUAUCUGACGCUGAGGCGCGAAAGCGUGGGGAGCAAACAGGAUUAGAUACCCUGGUAGUCCACGCCGUAAA